ACGGAGGAUGCGAGCGUUAUCCGGAUUUAUUGGGUUUAAAGGGUGCGUAGGCGGAUAGGUAAGUCAGAGGUGAAAACUUACAGCUUAACUGUAAACUUGCCUUUGAUACUGUAAGUCUAGAGUAUGGUAAAGAGAGAUGGAAUGUCUGAUGUAGCAGUGAAAUGCGUAGAUAUCAGAUAGAACACCAAUUGCGAAGGCAGCCUGUUGGUCCAUUACUGACGCUGAAGCACGAAAGCGUGGGUAGCGAACAG
rnacentral:rRNA from 1 species